rnacentral:rRNA from 1 species
AUUGAACGCUGGCGGCAGGCUUAACACAUGAAAGCCGGCCGAGGGGGGGACGGGUGAGUAAUGUAGGGGAAACUGCCGGCGGGAGGGGGAUACCAACUGGAACCGGAAGCUAAUACCGCAUACAAUCGGAUGUGCCCAGAUGGGAUUAGCUAGUAGGUGGGGUAAGGGCUACCCUAGGCGACGAUCCCUAGCUGGUCUGAGAGGAUGACCAGCCACACUGGAACUGAGACACGGUCCAGACUCCUACGGGAGGCAGCAGUGGGGAAUAUUGCACAAUGGGCGCAAGCCUGAUGCAGCCAUGCCGCGUGUGUGAAGAAGGCCUUCGGGUUGUAAAGCACUUUCAGCGAGGAGGCGUUACUCGCAGAAGAAGCACCGGCUAACUCCGUGCCAGCAGCCGCGGUAAUAC